rnacentral:sRNA from 1 species
GCCUUCCGGGGGCCGGGUUUUUUGGGGACAAAAGUUAUUACAACUUUCAGCAAUGGAUCUCUUGGCUCUCGCAUCGAUGAAGAACGCAGCGAAUAGCGAUAUGUAAUGUGAAUUGCAGAUCUACAGUGAAUCAUCGAAUCUUUGAACCCACCUUGCGCUCCUCGGUGUUCCGAGGAGCAUGCCUGUUUGAGCGUCAGUAAAUUCUCAACUCCUCUCGAUUGGACUUCGAGUGGAGCUUGGAUGGUGGGGGCUGCCGGAGACCUGAAUAUUCGUGUUCGGGACUCGGGCUCCUCUGAAAUGUAUUGGCUUGCGGUCUGUUUUCGACUUUGCAUGACAAGGCUUUUGGCGUGAUAAUGAUCGCCGCUCGCCGAAGUGCAUGAAUGAAACCGUGCCGUGCCUCUAAUCCGUCGAUGCCUCUAUGGGGCGUCUUCUUUANGCAUUUGAC